UACGUAGGGUGCGAGCGUUGUCCGGAAUUACUGGGCGUAAAGAGCUCGUAGGUGGUUUGUCGCGUUGUUCGUGAAAUCUCACGGCUUAACUGUGAGCGUGCGGGCGAUACGGGCAGACUAGAGUACUGCAGGGGAGACUGGAAUUCCUGGUGUAGCGGUGGAAUGCGCAGAUAUCAGGAGGAACACCGGUGGCGAAGGCGGGUCUCUGGGCAGUAACUGACGCUGAGGAGCGAAAGCGUGGGGGAGCGAACAGG
rnacentral:rRNA from 1 species